UGUGGGAGCUGGCUUGCCUGCGAUGCAGACAACUCGGUUUUUCAGAUGCACCGAGGCGAUGCCAUCGCAGGCAAGCCAGCUCCCACA
rnacentral:misc_RNA from 1 species